AAAAAAAAUAAACCUUAAUUUUUGUGUCCAACGUUUAACUGCCCAUCUUAUAUAAAAUUUUCUUAUAAUUAGUAUUUUCAUUAUUAUUAGAUGAUAAAACAUGAUUAAUAUUUUAUGCGUGACUUAUCUUUUUAAUUUUUUUCAUAAUUUUUUUCAAAUAAGACGGAUGGUCAAGCGUUGGACACAGAAACGUAGGGUUUAUCUUUUU
rfam:Oryza sativa (indica cultivar-group) chromosome 6, whole genome shotgun sequence.